rnacentral:rRNA from 1 species
UACCCUUGGGUUGUGAGGUAGCGGGCGCGCACGCGUGUCGUAGUAACGCGUGAAGUAACCUGCCUCAUACACAUGGAUAACAUACCGAAAGGUAUGCUAAUACAGGAUAACAUAAGAGAUUCACAUGUAUUUCUUAUCAAAGCUCCGGCGGUAUGAGAUGGACCCGCGUCUGAUUAGCUAGUUGGUAAGGUAACGGCUUACCAAGGCGACGAUCAGUAGCCGACCUGAGAGGGUGAUCGGCCACAUUGGAACUGAGACACGGUCCAAACUCCUACGGGAGGCAGCAGUGGGGAAUAUUGCACAAUGGGCGAAAGCCUGAUGCAGCAACGCCGCGUGAGUGAUGAAGGCCUUCGGGUCGUAAAACUCUGUCCUCAAGGAAGAUAAUGACGGUACUUGAGGAGGAAGCCCCGGCUAACUACGUGCCAGCAGCCGCGGUAAUUUUUAUGGGGCUAGCGUUAUCCGGAUUUACUGGGCGUAAAGGGUGCGUAGGUGGUUUCUUAAGUCAGGAGUGAAAGGCUACGGCUCAACCGUAGUAAGCUCUUGAAACUGGGAGACUUGAGUGCAGGAGAGGAAAGUGGAAUUCCUAGUGUAGCGGUGAAAUGCGUAGAUAUUAGGAGGAACACCAGUAGCGAAGGCGGCUUUCUGGACUGUAACUGACACUGAGGCACGAAAGCGUGGGGAGCGAACAGGAUUAGAUACCCUGGUAGUCCACGCCGUAAACGAUGAGUACUAGGUGUCGGGGGUUACCCCCCUCGGUGCCGCAGCUAACGCAUUAAGUACUCCGCCUGGGGGAGUACGCUCGCAAGAAUGAAACUCAA